rnacentral:rRNA from 1 species
ACUCCUACGGGAGGCAGCAGUGGGGAAUAUUGCACAAUGGGCGCAAGCCUGAUGCAGCCAUGCCGCGUGUGUGAAGAAGGCCUUCGGGUUGUAAAGCACUUUCAGUUGUGAGGAAAGGUUAGUCGCUAAUAUCGGCUAGCUGUGACGUUAACGACAGAAGAAGCACCGGCUAACUCCGUGCCAGCAGCCGCGGUAAUACGGAGGGGGUUAGCGUUGUUCGGAAUUACUGGGCGUAAAGCGCGCGUAGGCGGACUAUUAAGUCAGGGGUGAAAUCCCGGGGCUCAACCCCGGAACUGCCUUUGAUACUGGUAGUCUUGAGUUCGAGAGAGGUGAGUGGAAUUCCGAGUGUAGAGGUGAAAUUCGUAGAUAUUCGGAGGAACACCAGUGGCGAAGGCGGCUCACUGGCUCGAUACUGACGCUGAGGUGCGAAAGUGUGGGGAGCAAACAGGAUUAGAUACCCUGGUAGGCUCU